rnacentral:rRNA from 1 species
CUUUUGGAUAACCGCAGUAAAUCGGGGCUAAUACAUAGAAGCGAGGGGUGAUUGAUUUAUCAAGAGCUCCGCGAUUAUUAGCAUUCAACCAAUACCCGCAAGGGUUCUGUUGGUGAAACCGAAUAAUAUUGCAGAUCAAAGAUUUAUCUUUGACAAGUCUACUGUGUCACUGCCCUAUCAACUUUCGAUGGUACGGUAUUGGCCUACCAUGGUUGUAACGGGUAACGGGGAAUUAGGGUUCGAUUCCGGAGAGGGAGCCUGAGAAAUGGCUACCACUUCUACGGAAGGCAGCAGGCGCGCAAAAUUACUCAAUCCCAAUACGGGGAAGUAGUGACAAUAAAUAUCGAUGCCUAACCAUUUUUGGAAGGGUAAUUGAAAUGAACACAAAUUAAAACUCUUAAUUAAUACAAUUGGAGGGCAAGUCUGGUGCCAGCAGCCGCGGUAAUUCCAGCUCCAAUAGCAUAUACUAAAGUUGUUGCAGUUAAAAAGCUCGUAGUUGAAGUUAAAGCUUUAUUUGGGUUAAAAAUCCAUUUACCGUUUAUUGGUUAAAUUGGAUUCCAGUAUUGCUUUUUUAAAGUUCAGUUUGUAUUGCCUUUGGUAGUAUUUAUUUGGGACAUUUCACUGUGAGAAAAUUGUGGUGUUUAAAGCAGGUGCCUGAUCUUUUGCAGCAUGGUAUGAUGGAACAUGACAUUUUGCGCAAUUGGGUUUGCGAUUAAAGUGUAAUGAUUAAUAAGGAUGGGGGUGUUCAUAUUGGUGGGCGAGAGGUGAAAUUCGUUGACCCUAUCAAGAUGAACUUCUGCGAAAGCAUUCACCAAAUACUUCCCCAUUAAUCAAGAACGAAAGUUUGGGGAUCGAAGACGAUCAGAUACCGUCGUAGUCCAAACUAUAAACUUAUGUCGACCAGGGAUCGGUUAAAACUUUUUAAAAGUUUAAUCGGCACCUUGGUGAGAAAUCACGAGUGUUUAGAUUCCGGGGGGAGUAUGGUCGCAAGUCUGAAACUUAAAGGAAUUGACGGAAGGGCACACAAUGGAGUGGAGCCUGCGGCUUAAUUUGACUCAACUCGGGAAAACUUACCAAGCUAAGAUAUAGUAAGGAUUGACAGACUAAGAGAUCUUUCAUGAUUCUAUAAGUGGUGGUGCAUGGUCGUUCUUAGUUGGUGGAGCGAUUUGUCUGGUCAAUUCCGAUAACGGACGAGACCUCGACCUGCUAACUAGUAGUAUUUAUUGGCCGUUAUGGAUGAUAGCUAUUUCGGGGUUUGGAAGGGCUUCGGUUCUCUCCGCUUCGUGUGGUGUGUAAUCUGGUCGGAUAGGUACGAAUUAAAACUUCUUAGAGGGACUACCUGCCUCAAGCAGGCGGAAGUCCGAGGCAAUAACAGGUCUGUGAUGCCCUUAGAUACCUUGGGCCGCACGCGCGCUACAAUGUAGAAAGCAAAAAGGUUCCUGGUCCGGAAGGAUUGGGUAAUCAAUUGAAUUUUCUACGUAACUGGGAUUGAUCUUUGUAAUUAUUGAUCAUCAACGAGGAAUUCCUUGUAAGCGUAAGUCAUUACCUUAUGCUGAAUAUGUCCCUGCCCUUUGUACACACCGCCCGUCGCUCCUACCGAUCGA